UUGUAAUUCGAUUAUUGUGUCAAGGCGCUUGCAAGAGCUGCCAAAGAUAACAGUGACGGAUGUACAUCGUCUGGCCAAGACAAGUAGCAAAGCACCGACCUCCAAGUUGGAAAAAGGAUUCAAACUUUGUAUUCAGUUACCUUUUCAACUAUGAAGGUGUCUCCGGAAGGUGGUGAUUGACUCCGCUGUCCUGGCGUCGUGAGGGAGCUUGUUCCACCAUUGGGGUGCCAGAGCAGCGAACAGUUUUGACUGGGCUGAGCGGGAACUGUGCUUCCUCAGAGGGUCUGCAACCUGGGCCCAUAGACAAAAUGACCAUCACCGAGCCCACCAAAAAUCGCAUGGCAGAAGGAGGGAUUAGGUGGUUUCAAGUACAUUGUUUAGAUUGGGAAACCACAGCGGCUGCUUUGCAGAAGUACACUCUACAGUGCCCUUCUUGGAACGCUCCCUGACCUCUCAGUUCUCCAGAUAGAAGAGGCAUACAAAAGCUUUGACCCUCUAUCCAAGCCAUUGAUCUGCAGCAUGGGGAUGUCUGCUGAAAAGCUUUUAGUCGACUCCCACUUUGGAAAGGUACAGGUGGGGAGCCUUCUGUCUUACCAGCAGCCUCCAAUCACAACGUGACACAUAGUUCACCAUAAGGAGACACCACCAUUCCCUUCACUGCCCGGAGAGCAACUUUCAAGGCUGCACAUUUAUGCUCAGUGAAGAACACCAGCUUCACAUAGUCUCUUCAGAAUUUUCCACCACAAGGUUCACCUUCCAACAGGACAUCAACCCUAAGCACACAGGCAAGACAACGAAGGAGAGGAUUCAUGACAAGUUUCUGAAUGUCCUGAGUUGCCCAGCCAGAGUCUGGACUUGAACCCAUUUGAACAUCUCUGGAGAGAACUGAAAAUAGCUGUGCAGCAACGCUCCCCAUCCAGCCUGACAGAGCUUGAGAGGAUCUGCAGAGAAGAAUGGGAGAAACUCCCCAAAUACAGGUGUGCCAAGCUUGUAGCGUCAUACCCAAGAAGACUCGAGGCUGUAAUCGCUGCCAAAGGUGCUUCAACAAAGUACUGAGUAAAGGGUUGGAAUACUUAUGUAAAUGUGAUUUAAGUUUUGUAAUUUUACUACAUUUGCAAAAAAAAAUGGAACUUGUUUUUGCUUUGUCAUUAUGGGGUAUUGUGUGUAGAUUUUUUUUCCCUCAAUUUAAUUAUUUUUAGAAUGAGGCUGUAACAUAACAAAAUGUGGAAAAAGUCAAGGGGUCUGAAUACUUUCCGAAUGCACCGUACAUGGGAUCAGGCACAGCAGCCUUCCAGUGUCAAUAAUGGUUACUUUUUCCAUGUAAGCUAUAAGUCAUGAAAAUUAAAUUAAGUCAUAGAAAAAUGUUUAUGAACCCUUAACAGUGAAUUAUCAAAGGUCUCUACAGCAUAAUGUCAUUUGUGAAUGUCGGUGAACAACUGAGCCACAUCAUCAUAUUGUAAUUACUUCGCUACUAUGGCCUAUUUAUUGCCUUACCUCCUCACGCCAUUUGCACCCACUGUAUAUAGACUUUCUUUUUUUCUAUUGUGUUAUUGACUGUACGCUUGUUUAUUCCAUGUGUAACUCUGUGUUGUUUGUGUCGCACUGCUUUGCUUUAUCUUAGCCAGGUCGCAGUUGUAAAUGAGAACUUGUUCUCAACUAGCCUACUGAUAGAGGAAUUUAAAUGUUAAGGCAGGGGCGGAAAUCCCGGGGGGGACACGACCCCCCAUCCUGGGAAAAAUAUGAUUUGUCCCCCCCAAUAUAUCACUGAAACAU
rnacentral:lncRNA from 1 species